rnacentral:rRNA from 1 species
UGGCUCAGAUUGAACGCUGGCGGCAGGCCUAACACAUGCAAGUCGAGCGUAGAGAGAAGCUUGCUUCUCUUGAGAGCGGCGGACGGGUGAGUAAUGCCUAGGAAUCUGCCUGGUAGUGGGGGAUAACGUUCGGAAACGGACGCUAAUACCGCAUACGUCCUACGGGAGAAAGCAGGGGACCUUCGGGCCUUGCGCUAUCAGAUGAGCCUAGGUCGGAUUAGCUAGUUGGUGAGGUAAUGGCUCACCAAGGCGACGAUCCGUAACUGGUCUGAGAGGAUGAUCAGUCACACUGGAACUGAGACACGGUCCAGACUCCUACGGGAGGCAGCAGUGGGGAAUAUUGGACAAUGGGCGAAAGCCUGAUCCAGCCAUGCCGCGUGUGUGAAGAAGGUCUUCGGAUUGUAAAGCACUUUAAGUUGGGAGGAAGGGCAUUAACCUAAUACGUUAGUGUUUUGACGUUACCGACAGAAUAAGCACCGGCUAACUCUGUGCCAGCAGCCGCGGUAAUACAGAGGGUGCAAGCGUUAAUCGGAAUUACUGGGCGUAAAGCGCGCGUAGGUGGUUUGUUAAGUUGGAUGUGAAAUCCCCGGGCUCAACCUGG